GACGAACGCUGGCGGCGUGCCUAAUACAUGCAAGUAGAACGCACAGUUUAUACCGUAGCUUGUUACACCAUAGACUGUGAGUUGCGAACGGGUGAGUAACGCGUAGGUAACCUGCCUGGUAGCGGGGGAUAACUAUUGGAAACGAUAGCUAAUACCGCAUAAUAUUGAUUAUUGCAUGAUAAUUGAUUGAAAGAUGCUAUUGCAUCACUACCAGAUGGACCUGCGUUGUAUUAGCUAGUAGGUGAGGUAACGGCUCACCUAGGCGACGAUACAUAGCCGACCUGAGAGGGUGAUCGGCCACACUGGGACUGAGACACGGCCCAGACUCCUACGGGAGGCAGCAGUAGGGAAUCUUCGGCAAUGGACGAAAGUCUGACCGAGCAACGCCGCGUGAGUGAAGAAGGUUUUCGGAUCGUAAAGCUCUGUUGUAAGAGAAGAACGGGUGUGAGAGUGGAAAGUUCACACUGUGACGGUAUCUUACCAGAAAGGGACGGCUAACUACGUG
rnacentral:rRNA from 1 species